UACGGAGGAUGCGAGCGUUAUCCGGAUUUAUUGGGUUUAAAGGGUGCGUAGGCGGGCAUUUAAGCCGGCGGUCAAAUGUCGGGGCUCAACCCCGUCCGGCCGUUGAAACUGGGGGCCUUGAGUGGGCGAGAAGAAGGCGGAAUGCGUGGUGUAGCGGUGAAAUGCAUAGAUAUCACGCAGAACCCCGAUUGCGAAGGCAGCAUACCGGCGCUCAACUGACGCUCAUGCACGAAAGCGUGGGUAUCGAACAGG
rnacentral:rRNA from 1 species